rnacentral:rRNA from 1 species
CAGCAACUUGGAGGAAUGUAUAUUGACUACGUCAAAUAAAGUUCUAGUAGAAUAAUGAUAAUGACAAUUUUCUAUUAUAUGUCUUGACCAAAUCAUGUGCCAGCAGUCGCGGUAAUACAUGGAAGACAAGUGUUAUUCAUCUUUAAUAGGUUUAAAGGGUACCUAGACGGUACUUUUAGCCCAAAACAGGGAACAGAUUUACUAGAGUUUGAAUGUGAGAAGGAGAGUAUUUUUAGUGUAGAGAUAAAAUUCUGUCAUACUUAAAGGACUGAUAAUGGCGAAAGCAGCCUUCUAUGUAUAAACUGACGUUGAGGGACGAAGGCUUGGGGAGCGAUAAGGAUUAGAUACCCUAGUAGUCUAAGCAGAGAAUUAUGAAUGUCACAUGUUAGAUUUAUUUAGCAUGUAAAUAAAAGUGUAAGCAUUCCACCUCAAGAGUAAUGUGGCAACGCAGGAACUGAAAUCAUUAGGCCGUUUCUGAAACCAGUAGUGAAGUAUGUUAUUUAAUUCGAUGACCCGCGAAGAAUCUUACCACAAAUUGUAUAUUUACAAGCGCUGCACGGCUGUCUUUAGUUAAUGUCGUGAGACUUUGGUUACUCCUAGGAAUUAAUGUAAACCCUUGCUUUAUUUAAUUUUUAUAAAGUAUUCAACCGCUACAUUGGUUAUGAUAAAAGGGAUUAAGACA